GCUCGAGUCUGGGGAGGACAGAAGUCAGGGGUCCAUGCCUUGGUGCUUGGAGAGUCAGAAGUCUCUGAGGGUCACAGGAUCUGUGUCUUUCACUGUGCAGAUGGGGAGACAUACCCAAGAGUUGAAGGCACAAGGUAUUUAGGAGUCACCUAGACAUUCAAUCACAGCAGGAUGCUCAGGCUGGGUCCAGAAAUGUCCUGAUGAAAACUGGUUCCACAGAAAGAGAAGAAAGUUCAAGGCCGACCUGAACCACAUCAAGGCCAAAUUGAGUAAGGCAGGAAGAUCAGGAGUUCAAGGGCAGUCUGAGCUACAAACCAAGUUCCACUCCAGUCUAGACUACAUGAGAUCCUGUCUCAAAAACAAACAAAAGAAAAAAACAAGAAAGAAGAAAAAAGCCUCGCAUGAUGGUGUGUAUCUACAAUCCCAGCACUCA